CAAAACUAUGCUCAGAUGAAAAGUUUGAAAGCCAUAACAACUACAAAGUUGAAGAUCGCCGAGGACCAAAAGUUCCAAAAAGUUGUGAGGUCAGGGUUAUCCGUCUGGGACAAAAACAUCAUUAUUAUCAAGAAUAAUACAUAGUUUUGCAAACAGUUAAUUUUAUAAAAUGACUAUAUAAUAGAUAUACAUGAUUAAACUGAAGUGGUGACUAGCUAUAGAAUAAAAACGAAUACAUUACAAAAUCAAAGCCGUG
rnacentral:lncRNA from 1 species